UAGAGUUUGAUCCUGGCUCAGAUUGAACGCUGGCGGCAUGCUUUACACAUGCAAGUCGAACGGCAGCGCGGGGCAACCUGGCGGCGAGUGGCGAACGGGUGAGUAAUAUAUCGGAACGUACCCAAGAGUGGGGGAUAACGUAGCGAAAGUUACGCUAAUACCGCAUACGAUCUAAGGAUGAAAGCAGGGGACCGCAAGGCCUUGUGCUCCUGGAGCGGCCGAUAUCUGAUUAGCUAGUUGGUAGGGUAAAGGCCUACCAAGGCUACGAUCAGUAGCUGGUCUGAGAGGACGACCAGCCACACUGGAACUGAGACACGGUCCAGACUCCUACGGGAGGCAGCAGUGGGGAAUUUUGGACAAUGGGCGCAAGCCUGAUCCAGCAAUGCCGCGUGAGUGAAGAAGGCCUUCGGGUUGUAAAGCUCUUUUGUCAGGGAAGAAACGGUGGAGGUUAAUACCUUCCACUAAUGACGGUACCUGAAGAAUAAGCACCGGCUAACUACGUGCCAGCAGCCGCGGUAAUACGUAGGGUGCAAGCGUUAAUCGGAAUUACUGGGCGUAAAGCGUGCGCAAGCGGUUUUGUAAGUCUGAUGUGAAAUCCCCGGGCUCAACCUGGGAAUUGCAUUGGAGACUGCAAGGCUAGAAUCUGGCAGAGGGGGGUAGAAUUCCACGUGUAGCAGUGAAAUGCGUAGAGAUGUGGAGGAACACCGAUGGCGAAGGCAGCCCCCUGGGUCAAGAUUGACGCUCAUGCACGAAAGCGUGGGGAGCAAACAGGAUUAGAUACCCUGGUAGUCCACGCCCUAAACGAUGUCUACUAGUUGUCGGGUUUUAAUUAACUUGGUAACGCAGCUAACGCGUGAAGUAGACCGCCUGGGGAGUACGGUCGCAAGAUUAAAACUCAAAGGAAUUGACGGGGACCCGCACAAGCGGUGGAUGAUGUGGAUUAAUUCGAUGCAACGCGAAAAACCUUACCUACCCUUGACAUGUACGGAAGCCACGAGAGAUCGAGGUGUGCUCGAAAGAGAACCGUAACACAGGUGCUGCAUGGCUGUCGUCAGCUCGUGUCGUGAGAUGUUGGGUUAAGUCCCGCAACGAGCGCAACCCUUGUCAUUAGUUGCUACGAAAGAGCACUCUAAUGAGACUGCCGGUGACAAACCGGAGGAAGGUGGGGAUGACGUCAAGUCCUCAUGGCCCUUAUGGGUAGGGCUUCACACGUCAUACAAUGGUACAUACAGAGGGCCGCCAACCCGCGAGGGGGAGCUAAUCCCAGAAAGUGUAUCGUAGUCCGGAUUGUAGUCUGCAACUCGACUACAUGAAGUUGGAAUCGCUAGUAAUCGCGGAUCAGCAUGUCGCGGUGAAUACGUUCCCGGGUCUUGUACACACCGCCCGUCACACCAUGGGAGCGGGUUUUACCAGAAGUAGGUAGCUUAACCGCAAGGAGGGCGCUUACCACGGUAGGAUUCGUGACUGGGGUGAAGUCGUAACAAGGUAGCCGA
rnacentral:rRNA from 1 species